ACUGGCAGAAGCAUUGCAUAUGGCUGCUGUGUUGCAUGUGUGCCAGUAGGUGGCAAAGAGGAGAGAGGCAAUUUUUUUUUUAAGUGUUCUUAUUAAGUCUUUGAGAAUUUCAUACAAUGUUUUAAUCCUAUCCAU